UGGAAGAGUUCAGAGACUUUGAGAAAUAAAAUGGACUAAAAGAAGAACAGAGACUAGUCACCAGCCUGAUGUAACCAAUAAUCAGUCAGCAGGAGAGUUCUGCAGGGCUCCGUUUCAGAACAAGUUCUCUUUAUCAUUUUUGUAAAUGACUGGAAUGCAGGAUUCAAAGGCAUACAAAAUAAAUUAGCAAGGGGCACAAAACUGAGAAGUCACUGGCUCUUUCAAGGCUAUAGCGGCCUUACAGAGAGGUCUUGAUAAAUUAGAGGGUUACAGACCCUCGAAUUGUACUCAUACAUACUCUACUUUUCAUCUUACCUGUAAGACAUUAUCCCGACUCCUUCUCAUGCCUUAUUUUCAUAAUUCAUGCUGCUGACUUGGGUAAUGACAAAGGUUAAUUGAAAGACCUGUUAAUGAGAAACUGGCCUUAAUUGUGUGUUUGUGUAAUUUUGGUCUGGCAAGAAUCAUAGUGGAUUAUUUUCACCUCUUUCGGGAGUUAAUGGCACAUGAAAAAUGUCAAGGAAUGUGAAACCUUUGGAAAUCUCAGUGAUAGCAAUGGUACUGGAGUCAGAAGGCAUGGGAGGCUUGGGCUUCUGCUGUGUUUCUGUCUGAAGGUGUUCUUUUUUUUUGGGGGGGGGGGGGGAUCAUAGCUGCUCUUUUCUGUAAAGAUAUAAGGGGGUGAUGCUCUUCAUCAUUUGGCAUCCACCAGCCGUUCCUGGCUGUGAAGAGAGAACUUUUGCAGAAGGAAGUCUGGGACUGUUUUCUUUAAAUUUGCUGUGAGAGGUGAAAUGAUUGGGAAAGAGCAAGAAGAAAGUCCUUAGGAGCUAUGUGUGAAAAUGCCUUUUUUUGGUACACCCCACACCGCUGUUAUACAAACAAGUUUAGGAGCCAGUGUAGCGGUGCUGAGCAAAGACCUGCUCAGGCACCGCCUGUCCUGGGGUGGGCAGGGCUGGUGGCUGCAGGCAGCAGUGGCGGGUGCAGGCCUGGGCUGGGCCUCACCCUGUGGGGCAAAGCCGUUCCCACUGGGGAGAGUGGGAGGGGACACAGGAGUCCCAGGACAGACCCUGAAGUACCAAAGAUGGAGAGUUAA
rnacentral:lncRNA from 1 species